rnacentral:rRNA from 1 species
CAGUAGCCGCGGGAAUACGAAGGGGGCUAGCGUUGUUCGGAAUUACUGGGCGUAAAGGGCGCGUAGGCGGCCAUUCAAGUUAGAUGUGAAAGCCCUGGGCUCAACCUAGGAAUUGCAUUUGAUACUGUUUGGCUUGAGUUCGGGAGAGGUGAGUGGAAUUCCCAGUGUAGAGGUGAAAUUCGUAGAUAUUGGGAAGAACACCAGUGGCGAAGGCGGCUCACUGGACCGACACUGACGCUGAGGCGCGAAAGCGUGGGGAGCAAACAGGAUUAGAUACCCGGGUAGUCCCUGUCUCUUAUAC